GCGAUGCAAAAAAGUUGGCCUAAAAUUGGUUUACACCCAGUAGGUCGGCGGUUCGAUCCCGUCACCGCCCACCA
rnacentral:tRNA from 1 species